UACGGAGGGGGCUAGCGUUGUUCGGAAUUACUGGGGCGUAAAGCGCACGUAGGCGGCUUUGUAAGUUAGAGGUGAAAGCCCGGGGCUCAACUCCGGAAUUGCCUUUAAGACUGCAUCGCUAGAAUUGUGGAGAGGUAAGUGGAAUUCCGAGUGUAGAGGUGAAAUUCGUAGAUAUUCGGAAGAACACCAGUGGCGAAGGCGACUAACUGGACAUGUAUUGACGCUGAGGUGGCGAAAAGCGUGGGGAGCAAACAGG
rnacentral:rRNA from 1 species